rnacentral:tRNA from 1 species
GCCGGGGUGGUGGAACUGGUAUACACGUACGGUUGAGGGCCGUAUGAGGCAACUCUUGCGGGUUCGAGUCCCGCCCCCGGCA